ACGACUCUCGGCAACGGAUAUCUCGGCUCUCGCAUCGAUGAAGAACGUAGCGAAAUGCGAUACCUGGUGUGAAUUGCAGAAUCCCGCGAACCAUCGAGUCUUUGAACGCAAGUUGCGCCCGAGGCCACUCGGCCGAGGGCACGCCUGCCUGGGCGUCACGC
rnacentral:rRNA from 38 species